CCUCUCCCCUUCCUCUCCUGCCCACAUCGCCGCCGCCCCGUCCACAUCGCCGCCGCCCCGCUCACAUCGCUGGUGAGACCUAGCCGCCGCUCCCCCACUCCACACUCGCACCCUCCUCCUCCUCCUCCUCUACACCGCCUUCACCCAAACCCUAACGCCGCCGCCAUCUCCUUCACCCUGCCCACCGGACCCCCACCGCCCACUUCCCCAGCGUCGUCGCCGUCGUCCACCACCACCCUCACCGCGCCCCACCUUCUCCCAAUCCCCUCACCUUCUCUCCCGUGGCCGGUGGAUUCGCCCCUCGCGGGAUCGAUUCCUACCGCGCCGCCGGUGCGGCCUCCUCGCGAGCCAGAGCUAGGGUUUCGGGGCGGUGAGCUCUGCCUUACCUUGAUUCAGAUCCUCUCCUCUAGUCUUCUCUUCUUCCUUCUCUCCUGGCCCCUCACUUGUUUGUUCGAUCCAGAGCAGCAGCCACCCUCCAUGGAGGAGGACAACCACCACAGCGACGUCGGCGCCCCUCACAUGGUCGAGCUCGACGGAAGAGCGGUCGCCAUGGCCGCGUUCGUCUGCUCCGGUGUGGCGCAGCCGAGCUUGGCCAACGACGAGGUCGUGUACCUCCGCCUCGAUGACUCCUAGCGCGGGGGAUGCAUUUCUAAUGUCUAGGUGAACCGGUUUACAAUGCAGAGACUGCGACAAGAAAAUAACGAAGAACAACGUGUGUAUGUGUGCCAAUUACCAUGGAUAAUGCUCGAUUCUUCUGUUUCCAAAUGGCCCUUCACACUACAGGAAAGUGACAAUCAGUAAAAGUUAAGGUCAGACUUUGGAGAAGGUGAGCCGUGUUAGUUCAAAAUUGAUUUGGAAUUGAGCACUCAGAAAUUUUGAAGGUCAACAUCAGAAAUAGCCGUGAUGCUUUUGGCCUCCUUUGUUGUUCUCAUGUCUGACACUUCUUCACCAGGAGGCGCAACCUGCUACUCGAGCCACUGAUGCAGGUUCAUCUCUAAUAGAUGUGGGUUUCAUUCUGGACAUCUUAAAUUCUUCACAAUUAUCUAUGCACAUUGUUCUCUCGAAUAGAUUAGUGGUGCCCUAAUUAACAACCCCAUGAUGGCUAUGAGCAUACCUUUAUUCAGAUUUUUUGAGUGUUGUGGCAGUGCAUAUAGUGUGGUGCUUGGGGACCCCUGUAGUUUGAAAUGACAUUGAAUUGUGUUCGCUCGAGAGCUCUCUGCAUUUGUUGCUUAGGGUGUUAGGGUUUCUAAAUGUUCCCAUGCUUCACCGAGAGCCGAGUAGUUUAAACUGAUGUUAUAGUGGUGAACUGUUGCUUGGUAUGUGCUGGUUAUGCCAAACCUGCAUUGUAAUAUAUUUGUGUAAUCUCUUUAUUGCCAGGGUGCUUGUGUUUGUGUUUUCGACGAAAAGCUAAUCUUUCUUAUGGUUAGCCUCACAACUCUAUGUUAAUUUUGGGUUGGCCGCUAUUUAAGGUUGUUGGUCAGCAUACCCUAAUUUGAUUAUCCUUUUUCUGGUCAGUCUGCUUAGUUAUAUGUUGGCAAAGCCCUGAUAUGAUCAUUUGUUUUGUGCUUGCUUAGGAUGAUUUAUUCCUGUUUUGAUUUCAGCGUGUCGUUGAUCCAAUUUCUAACUAGCAUAUUAAUUCAGUUAGGCUUAUAACUAUAUGAAUGCACAAGCUUUUUAAGAGAGUCAAGAGAGAAAAGGGAAAACUAUUACACAUGUCUAUAUGUCCAAACAACAUAAAUCGGGACUUUUAUCUUGAAAUAACUUAUUAUUAUUGUUUUUCUAUUUGCUUUCCUGAUGGUCAGUUGUCUACCAUUUCUAACCUGGCCCAAUGGCCCUCUUCAGAUUCCUUCCACCAGUUUUUCUUUGGUUCUGGGCUCAAUUGUGUUAAAAAACAUGGCAACCAAGGAUCUAUAUGCUGGUUUGUUGAGUGAUUAAAUAUGCAAAAAAAAUUCCGUAAAGGGCAUCUACUCUCCUUUCGUCUGGUCAUGCUAUACAAACUUUUUUGUUUUGUAUUUGGCAUCGUAUUGGGUUUGACACGCUAGACCAAUGGGAUGGACGUAACAGGUGCACCAAGGCACACUACCGGUCUAUAAUGUUGUCGAUGAUGUAUGGUUCUGGAAUUUGGAGAUUAACAUUCCAACUUUGAUAUCUUGAAUAUUUAUGAUUUGAUUGAACUUGAUGCGAACCAGUUUUUCAUGGCACUACCGCUUUGGAUUUUGUAACAAAUUUUGUCAUCAGCCUGCAAAUUAAUUAUAUCAUUGAUUGAAUAUACUUAAUUUCUUUGCUUUUAAUAUAUCUAUGCUCUUUGUUAUCUAUACUAAACUCAUUGGUCCUGUCACAGUAUUGUAAUUUCCUUUGGAUGGACACGAUUUAUAUCACCCGUUUUUGCUGCCGAAGUAUCAAGUUACUGAUAUGUUACUCUCACCUACAUCAUUGUUUCUUGCAGGCACCGUCUUUGUUCUGUUGCAAUAUUCAUUUGGAUCUCUCAAUUGUGAAGUACCAUCUUCUGCACUUUACUCUACUGGCACAAUGUUACUAAUUUGCGUUCAAUCUCAGUAUGCCAUUUAUGAAUUUUGUAUAGCUUGCAUAGUGCCUAGGUUCAUCAGCUAAUUCUGUUAUUUUGCAGAUAUUCCAUAUUAUCAUUAGCAAGAUAAAGUCGCUCAAGUAUUGGCCACUACUAUUUGCAUUAGAUUCGCCUCAGAAUAUACCCUUUUCACUUGGAAGGAGGAAGUAGGAGUACUCAGUAAUGGUCAACUAUAAGCUAACAUAGAUGUUCUUUCAUUAACAAAGACAAAUGGCUUAUUAUUGUCUAUAUUUCUAGAGCUUUGUUCCCAAUUGUCGUAUCUCAUUAUGUUUAUGAACUACUUGGCCAUAUUUCUUUACACUUUGUACUGAACUUGAUGCAAUAGAGUUCAAAUCAGUUGUUCUGAGCAAGCACCAUCCCUUGCUUUUGGUACACUUUUUGCCUUUAUGCUUUGUAGUAAAGUUGUAGGUCAGUUAUCUUGGGAACAACUAUACCUUGCUUUUGGUAUAUCCUUAAUCUAUAUGCUCUAUGCUGAACUCAGUUAUCCUUGGCAGCAGCUAUAUAUCGUAUUUUUGGUGUAUCUUUAGUGUUUGUGAUUUGUAUAAAAUACAUUUAGCUUGACUGAUUACUCUAAUUUCCACUGGAUGCACUAAAUACUUUGUUAUAUUGGAGUUUUAGACGUUUGGUCACUGUGCCGAGUCAGGCACCGGUGCGGCGGUGCGCCAAGGCGCACUUCCGAUCUAGUACAUGUGAAAACUGCAUAGCCAAAUGCUAAAACGGAAAAGGAAAACAUAAAAAAAAUGGUCCUGGGCCGAAUCUGCACAACCCAAAACAGUGGGCACAACCCACAUGUUUUUUUUCGUUGUCUCUUUCUUUUUUUUUUUCUUUCUCUGGAGAGAGAUGGACCUUUGGCCGGCCCACAGGCACGCACCGCCCCAGAUCGGAUAAGGUAGAGGCGACGGGACGGCUUUCGUCCCUAUCGACCAACCGCCCCCAAUCCCGAUCCAAACGACGGCCACCCUUGUGCUUCCACCGCCGACCGUGCUGCGGGAAGCCGCGCCUCCUCCGGAACAAGCCCGUCUGCUGGACCGUCGUAUCGCGCGCCGUCGCAGCCGGCCACGCGUGGGAGGAGCGCGCUGUCGCAAUCGUUAUGAGGGGAGCCGCGCCCGGGCAAGAGCUGCCAUUCGCGCUUCUUGCUGACCGCAGGCCGCCGGUGUAUUCGGAGUCGAGUGCGUCAAUCCGCGUUCGACAUCAUUUUUGAGGAGGGCAUGCAGACACAUGUUUGUGUCCUUGCCUUGAGCAGCCUGAUGACCGUGGGAGCGUGGCAGUGCCAUGCGCCAGAGGAGGAGCACUUCUUGCGGUAGGUGCGAGCCGGGCCGCGCCGUUCUUCAUUCUGCCGGCACCGGCGGCACGCGCCUGACGUUGGCCGCCUCCGCCGCCGAUGGGAAGGACGCCACUGCUGGUGUCCACGCCGCCGGGAGGCUCUCCUCGCCUCUGUGAUUCUUGCGCGUGUAGCCGCCUUCUCGAGAUGGCCUUUCUCGCUCAACGGAGAGCAGAGCGCUGAUAACCUGUGAUGAAUCAAAAGUAAUGACAAAUGAACUCGUAUCUUUAUUACUGGGAUGAUGUACAUAUAUAUCCUCUGAAGGGCGGCAUCCAACCGGUGCAACGGUUCGGAGAGACAGGAGCGAAGGGACGUGAUGGUUAGCAGAUAACUAACCGCCUCCCUAAUGUAACGUGGAGAUUAUCCACAUUAUUUAAUUACAGAAUAAUUAAUUCCUAACA